UCGGCCAACUCAUGCUCGCGUUGGCCGGCAAUGCGGGAGGGGUUGGCGACGGCUUCGCACGCAGCAUCGUGAGCGAUGAGUCGCAGAGGAGAAGGUUCAAAUCAAGCAGCAUGAAUUUAGACACCAUGGAUUUGGACAUUUUGGGGGUGAUUCUGCUUUCACGUCUCUGCAAUUUAAUAAGGAGCGCACAUAUCCUUUUUAGAAAGCGUAAUCAAACUCCAUCUUUUAAUUUAGUUUCCCAGUAUUUCUCUCAGUAGUCCCCUAGUUGCUUUCUGUACCGAAUGUCCUUUCAUGAAAUGUUCUUUGGAUUCACCAAAAAUGACUAGGUCCCUGUCCAGCUAGCAAGGGAAACAGAAAUCAGUCGAUUGUACAUUUUAAAAUGCACAUAGUAGGACAUUCUUAUUAUUUUCUCUCAACAAUGAUGUUGUUAGAGAUUGGUUCCGUUCAAUGUUAUACAUAAAGAGUUCUUAUUGGUA